UCCUACGGGACGCAGCAGUGGGGGAUAUUGCACAAUGGGGGAAACCCUGAUGCAGCGACGCCGCGUGAGUGAAGAAGUAUUUCGGUACGUAAAGCUCUAUCAGCAGGGAAGAAUAAUGACGGUACCUGACUAAGAAGCCCCGGCUAACUACGUGCCAGCAGCCGCGGUAAUACGUAGGGGGCAAGCGUUAUCCGGAUUUACUGGGUGUAAAGGGAGCGUAGACGGCUGUGCAAGUCUGAAGUGAAAUGCCGGGGCUCAACCCCUGGACUGCAUUGGAAACUGGUAUGCUUGAGUGCCGGAGGGGU
rnacentral:rRNA from 1 species